rnacentral:tRNA from 2 species
GCGAGCUUGGCGGAAUGGUAGACGCACGAGACUUAAAAUCUUGCGCCCGUUAACAGGGCGUGCGGGUUCGAGUCCCGCAGUUCGCA